rnacentral:ncRNA from 2 species
CGGCGUUCCGAGGGGAGCUCCGGCAGGGAGCUGAGAUACCGCCAUAUCGCGAAUGCGACAGCGCGGUGACCCUUUGAACCUGAUCCGGGUCAUGCCGGCGAAGGGACAGGGAUGAAUCAGCAA